GGGCCCGCACAAGCAGUGGAGUAUGUGGUUUAAUUCGAAGCAACGCGAAGAACCUUACCAGGUCUUGACAUCCAACGAAUCCUUCAGAGAUGAGGGAGUGCCUUUCGGGGAACGUUGAGACAGGUGGUGCAUGGUUGUCGUCAGCUCGUGUCGUGAGAUGUUGGGUUAAGUCCCGCAACGAGCGCAACCCUUGUUAAUAGUUGCUACGCAAGAGCACUCUAUUAAGACUGCCGUUGACAAAACGGAGGAAGGUGGGGAUGACGUCAAAUCAUCAUGCCCCUUAUGACCUGGGCUACACACGUACUACAAUGGCCGUCAACAGAGGGAAGCAAGACCGUGAGGUGGAGCAAACCCCUAAAAACGGUCUCAGUUCAGAUUGCAGGCUGAAACCCGCCUGCAUGAAGAUGGAAUUGCUAGUAAUCGCGGAUCAGCAUGCCGCGGUGAAUACGUUCCCGGGCCUU
rnacentral:rRNA from 1 species